rnacentral:rRNA from 1 species
GUCUUUUUGUAAUUUAUUUAAAGUCUAAUCUGCCCACUGAUUAAUUGAAUGGCCGCAGAAUUUUAACUGUGCAAAGGUAGCAUAAUCAUUAGUCUUUUAAUUGAAGGCUUGUAUGAAUGAUUGAACGAGAUAUAAACUGUCUCAAUUUAAUAGGUAGAAUUUUAUUUUUUAGUUAAAAAGCUAAAAUAACUUUGAAAGACGAGAAGACCCUAUAGAUCUUUAUAUUAUUAUUUAUAAUUUUUUUGAGGAAUUAAUUGCAUAUUAUAAAUUGUAAUAUUUUAUUGGGGUGAUAUUGAAAUUUAGUAAACUUUCAGUAAUUUAAUACAUAAAUUAAUGAUUUAUUGAUCCUUUAUUAUUGAUUAAAAAUUUAAGUUACCUUAGGGAUAACAGCGUAAUUAUUUCGGAGAGUUCAUAUCGAUGAAAUAGAUUGCGACCUCGAUGUUGGAUUAAGAUUAAUCUUGGGCGUAGCAGUUCAAGGUAUUAAGUCUGUUCGACUUUUAAUUUCUU